GCCGGAGUGGUGUAGGGGUCUGCACAAAUCUCUGAAAAAGAUUGGGUUCCAGUUCAACUCUGGACUCCGGCA
rnacentral:tRNA from 1 species